AAUGGCCCAUUAAAUCAGUUAUCGUUUAUUUGAUAGUACUUACUACUGGAUAACCGUGGUAAUCUAGAGCUAAUACAUGCUGAAAGCCCGACUCCGGGAGGGGCGUAUUUAUUAGAUAAAAAACCAAUGCCUUCGGGGCUCCUUGGUGAUUCAUGAUAACUAAACGAAUCGCAUGGCCUUGCGCCGGCGAUGGUUCAUUCAAAUUUCUGCCCUAUCAACUUUCGAUGGUAGGAUAGUGGCCUACCAUGGUAUCAACGGGUAACGGGGAAUUAGGGUUCGACUCCGGAGAGGGAGCCUGAGAAACGGCUACCACAUCCAAGGAAGGCAGCAGGCGCGCAAAUUACCCAAUCCCGACACGGGGAGGUAGUGACAAUAAAUACUGAUACAGGGCUCUUUUGGGUCUUGUAAUUGGAAUGAGUACAAUUUAAAUCCCUUAACGAGGAACAAUUGGAGGGCAAGUCUGGUGCCAGCAGCCGCGGUAAUUCCAGCUCCAAUAGCGUAUAUUAAAGUUGUUGCAGUUAAAAAGCUCGUAGUUGAACCUUGGGCCUGGCUGGCCGGUCCGCCUCACCGCGUGCACUGGUCCGGCCGGGCCUUUCCUCCUGGGGAGCCGCAUGCCCUUCGCUGGGCGUGCCGGGGAACCAGGACUUUUACUUUGAAAAAAUUAGAGUGUUCAAAGCAGGCCUUUGCUCGGAUACAUUAGCAUGGAAUAAUAGAAUAGGACGUGCGGUUCUAUUUUGUUGGUUUCUAGGACCGCCGUAAUGAUUAAUAGGGACAGUCGGGGGCAUCAGUAUUCAAUUGUCAGAGGUGAAAUUCUUGGAUCAAUUGAAGACUAACUACUGCGAAAGCAUUUGCCAAGGAUGUUUUCAUUAAUCAGUGAACGAAAGUUAGGGGAUCGAAGACGAUCAGAUACCGUCGUAGUCUUAACCGUAAACUAUGCCGACUAGGGAUCGGGCGGUGUUAUCAUUUUGACCCGCUCGGCACCUUACGAGAAAUCAAGUUUUG
rnacentral:rRNA from 1 species